AUGUAUUCCGUUUCAACUGAUGCGUAUCGACAUGCUUACACUCGGCUUACACAUGCUUACAAACGGCGACAUGCUUACACUCGUGGAUUCAUUUCGUCGCAGAAACUUGAAGAUGUUCCAGAGAAGGGAAAGUUUAAGUUCACCACUAAACAUCGCACUGGAGUUAUGGUUUUCGGAGCAGAUGCCUCCAAUGGAUUGAAAAUGCCUCCGGUUUUCAUCAAAGCUGGGAUGAAGGAUAAACUGCCGUGUCAUACCUCUGAAAAGUCUCAAGAGUGGUUGAAGAAUAACAUGGCUUUUUGGACAAAAGAUGUUUGGCCUCCUAGCAGCCCAGACUUGAACCUCAUCGAUUAUUCCGUAUGGGUGAAUGUUCAGGCAAAAGCCUGUGUUAAAUCUCACCCCCGGGUGGACGCCCUGAAAGCCUCCAUUACAAAAGCAUGGAACUCGAUGUCUGAUUCAUCCAUUUAAAAGGCAUGUUCCGAUCACGCCUGGAGAAAGUGAUAGAAAACAUCGGUGGCCACAUCGAAUAAUGUGAACUAUGAAGGUUGAAUAAACAUAUCU